GUCUGGGUGGGUUAGUUGGUUAAACCGUCGGUCUCAUAUUAAAUUAUGACCUCUUUGAAACAGUGGACAUCCGAAAGUCGCGAGUUCGAUUCUCGCUCUGGACA